rnacentral:lncRNA from 1 species
AGAGGAGAGGGAGAGGAGAGGAAGCACCAGGAACCACAAGGCCCAAAGUUCAAUCCCCAAACCAAUGUAUAAGGGAUUCUUGACUGUGGCUGCCUUUGUUUAGUGGUGACCCUGGGUAUCUGGUUUUGUGCUCCAUUUCCCAAUUCCUGCUUACCUACUGUGGCCUGAGGCAGGGUGGGAAGCAGAAACAGACUGCUAAGGGCUGGAGGGUAUAUCUCAGAUCUGAUAUUACGUCAGCACUGGGCAGGUGGGCUCUGGGACUGGAGCCUUCUAAGCCUUCCUGCCCCUUCCCCUAGAUAGCUGAGCUUUUUCUGUACGAACUAAACGGAAUGCUGGACAUUGGAAGUGAGUUUCUUCUCUUCCGAUCAGGCAUGAAAACUGAUUCCUGGUCAUAGGACUCAGAUUUAAGGGGGACACUGCUGCCUCUGAAGAGCUUUGCUUCUUUUGGGAGGAGAUUCUGGGAAUGUGAAUGGAGGCCCCUUGCAGCCCAUUUCAAGCGUGCCCAUCUCAGGAGUACUCGGUGGAACCGCACCCCCCGCCUCCAGUCUGUACAAGUAGUAAACUGAAGGCAAUAUUCACUCGUUAAACAGUUCUUCGUUCUCAACUGUUCUCUGAGGGGCGGGGGAAGGCAGUAAAAUGAAGUCGACUCGGUCUGGGCCUGGGGCUGUGCGUAACUCCAGUCCUUGUGGGUCCACCCUCCUUCACCAGCCACCAUCUUGUCACCACACAAGCCAACCUGUGGUCUGUGUGGUGACAUAUCCCUGAACGCAGCGAGGUCGCCCUCCCUGGCACUCCGGGGCUAUUUUCUCAGCCACCGGCCACCUCCACGCUGGUCUCCACUUUUGUUCUGUCUCUUCUCAGGCUUCCAGGCUGGGCAGCUCUGUUUCUCCCUGUGAAGUUCCCUUUGCUGCAUGCAGUGCAGCGAAAACAAUGGCUUACAAGUAGAUGAUUGUAAUUAGAUGGGGCUUUCAGCUUAGAGAUCAUAGAUGGGAAUAUAGGUUCUGAUUUUCUUGUUCUUCUAGAAAAUUCAAAAGGUCAAAGGUAACUGCAACACUCCCUCCUAACUCUAUUGGCAGUGAAUAUUCUCUGGAUUGGUCAAGAAGCCAGUUUUGUUUGUCCGGGGCAUCAUUAACAAUAUAUCACCUCUCCCACAGAGGAUUAAUUAAUAUUUCAUUUGAUUGUUUUCUUGAGCUGUUCACUAAAAUAUCUUUUUUUUUUUUUACAAAGCAUUUGUGAGACGUUGCAUGGUGCUCUGAGCUAAAAUGAUCCUCUUCAUCUACUAUCUCAUUUGCAGAUAAUUCUACUCAAAAGCAUGAGUUGCCUUUUCUCAUUGUAUUUGCCUCUCAGAAGGUAAUGAAUUUCCCAUUGAAAAAUUAAAAACAAAAGUUCAAUUACUAUAUGAUGUGUCAGGUUUUCUUGUAGAUGGAUUUAUGGAAGUGACUUUCUUCUCUGGCCCGGCGAGAGAACUGCUUUCUGGUUUACAGAACUUGGGUGUAGUGAGAAUCCUCCCUUCCACCAGCACUGAAGAAGCACUUCCUCUGAAAGAAGAUUCUGGAAAUGUAGUGGAAGACCUUGCUACCUCACAUCUACCACCUUGUCUACCUCGUACCUCCUCGGGAGUGCCUGGUGGAGACAUGUGGAAAAGAGCUGGAAAGUGAGAAUAGAAUCCCAUUUAUCCACAGUAGCUCAACUAUAGUUAUUAAGGAGUUAUAAUACUGUUCACUGCUUCUGCCUGUGGUGUCUAUUUCUUCCCUCUUUGUCAAAGCCACUUUCAGGUGCCUUAGCCUCUUCCAGAUCCAAGCUUUCUGACUGACGUGUUUAAGAAAGUGAAAUAAAAGUUUGUAG